rnacentral:rRNA from 1 species
UACGGAGGGUGCGAGCGUUGUCCGGAAUCACUGGGCGUAAAGAGCGUGUAGGCGGCCAAACAGGUCCGUUGUGAAAACUGGAGGCUCAACUUCCAGACGUCGACGGAAACCGUGUGGCUAGAGUCCGGAAGAGGAGAGUGGAAUUCCUGGUGUAGCGGUGAAUGCGCAGAUAUCAGGAAGAACACCCGUGGCGAAGGCGGCUCUCUGGGACGGUACUGACGCUGAGACGCGAAAGCGUGGGGAGCGAACAGG